GAAUGAGACGCAUGUGCGUCGUUUCAGUGUGUCUUUCCAUAGGCUCCAGGCCGCACGGGAGUAUUGGGGAUCCCCAGGAAUGUCUCAUCCCAGCACCCAUGUGCAGGACAACCACCUCACAGGAGUGGACAUGCUUAGCUGGCUGUGGACACAAGCUAACAGAAGAGGGCAGGCGAUCCUGGCAGGAGAGCCUUCCUUCCUUCCUUCCUUCACCUCAGUGGAUCUGCCUGUUUCCAUGCCAUCCGGAUCCUAACGAAUUGGGUAGGAAAACCUGUGAAGCAUCAACUUAGACAUGAAAUUGACCACUGAGCCUGUUCCUCCCUGUGGAGAGUCUGGAGCAUUGGUGGCACUGUCUCUGGCAUAAGAAGGUAGACCCUGCCCCUCUCUGGGCUGUGAGGUGGUUCCUUGGAGGCCACUGUCAUGGUACAUGCAGGGCCUGUUCUGGUUCCUUUCACAUGAUUGGCCAAGCCUGUUCUGGUAUGUGUGAAAGGUCCAGCAGGAGCCUGGGGAGAAGGCAUCACAGGUGGAGGCAGCUGCUGCGGGAGGGCUGAAGGACAGCAGAGUGGUCUUGCUCUACCUGUAGGGAGACGUCUCCCCGGCAUGGAACCAUUCACUCACUCACUCACUCACUCACUCACUCACUCACUCAUCCAUAAACACAGUGUUCUCCAAGUGUGAAGCUCAGUGCUGAGAACUA
rnacentral:lncRNA from 1 species